rnacentral:lncRNA from 1 species
GAAUGGUCUGCUUGGAACCUGAGCAGCACUGACUUCUGCAGAAGACUGAGAUGGAGACGCCCCCCAGUGUCCUGUUGCUCCUGCAGUCUGAACUUCCCAACAGCCCAUCUUUGGUUUAAAAAGUCUUUGUAAAGUUAACAUCCUUCCUACCGGAAUGUCCUGCACCUCCCUGUCUUUGGGACUCGGGUUUACUUGCAGAGAUCUUCUGCGGAAGACAACCUUCUUUUUGAUCUUUAGGCACAAAGGCAGGAGGCCCAUGGCCUUCCUCCUGCUCACUUGACUUGAGGAGAGCUGUCCCCCUUCGAGCUUUAGGCACAUAAAGUGCCAUGUCAGGCCUUUUGGUUCGAACUCUACAUCUCUCUGCUUCUUGCUGCAUGGCACCACUUCAAUCUGAAAGAAAAUGAAAGAGUUAAUAAUAAAAGACAAAAAAAAAUUCA